rnacentral:lncRNA from 10 species
CUCUUCUGACAGGGUCAUGCCCACAGAAGAAAGAUGGCUUAUUGCCAAACCCAGCACACAGGAAAUGUGUCUCUCCUCUUCUGCCUGCACCUUGCCAACAGAGAAAAUUGUGACAUAUUACUGAGCCUAGCAACCAGGUGAUGUGUCUCUCCUGCCUGGGCCUGGCUGACAGAAAGCAGUGUGAUAUAUUCCCGGGCCCAGCAAACAGACUUGUCUGCAGCGCAGAUUGCUACAUAUUGCUUGGCCCAGCUCCUAUGUGAUGUGACUCUCCUGUCAUACCUGAGUGCUCCCCACUGCGGUAAUUGUGACAUAUAGCUGGGCUCUGGCCCUAGUUUAUGUAACUUUUCUUCCUGACUGCUACUCACCUGGGGGCAUUGUGACAUAUCUCUGAACCUCUCACCUAAGUGAUGUGAAUCUCCUGCUUGAGCCCACUUCUCAGGGAGUAUUAUUAUAUAUUGUCACACACAGCAACUAGGUGAUAUGACUCUCUCUACAGCUUGGACUCUGCCCAAUAAAAAACUGUGAUGUAUCAC